GUGUGUCCCGACCUUAGUUAAACUCUGUGUAUUGUCUAGAGGCUUUGUAGACCUAAUGUACAGUCAAGAUGGUGUUUUGUUAAUAGACGUGAUGGCUUCAACGGCCAAGUAUUGUAUAUACAUAUAUAUGUGUGCUCGAGCUUAUACAGGUGAUUAUUUUCUUUUAUAUACGACAUGAUGUUGUCUGAAUUUCAGGUUGUCAUAGAGGUAUGCAUAGGAAGUAUAAGGUUAUGAGCUGGUUCUCCCGGGCCUCCUCGGUUACGGGUGCCAGUCCGC
rnacentral:lncRNA from 1 species